CAUGCUUCCAAACACACCCUAAUACCCUAUCUUAGAUUCUUAAAUCAUUAAAAAAAUCCACUUUCAAUCCUCCUACCCUCUUUUCAGAAACUGUCAUUCUCAUAUUAGAUUCUUCUGAUAAAAUCACUUAUAAAAAAAGCACUUCACAGUACUACUACACAGAUUCCACGGCGGGAAAACGCAAUUUAUUUCAUCAAAUUCCAACAAUAAUAAUUCAUAAUUCAUUCCGAAAAAAUUAACAAAAAGUAAAAAGAAAAAAAACACUCACACGAGUUUUCUUCUUCUUCUUCUUCUCUCUCUCUCUCUCUGAAACAAACACAAAACCCUAACAUUGCAAAAUUCCCUUUCUUCUUCUUCUUCAAUGGCAUUCCCUCCCGAUGAAAUCGUCGGAGGACUCGCCACCGAAGAAGACACCACCAUUGACAUCCACACCACCCACGGCGCCCCCAUUCGCUACCUCCCUCUCGAUCAUCUCUACUCCUCCACAUCCCCUUGCAGCGGCUCCUCCAACGUCAUGUCCAAAAAAGUUAAAGCUCGUAAACUCACCCUAACCACAGCCACUACUCCCAACCACAACAACAACAGCGAAGACGAUAACAAUAAUAACAUCCACUUCAAUGGUGAAAUCGAAAUCGAUAUUGAUUAUCCGAUUGAUGAUGAUAAGAAAACCACGUCUACAUCUAUGGUGGUUUACACUAAACCGCCUCUUCUGUAUGUUUACUCUCGGCGAAGAAAGAGGAGUUCGAUUCCGGUGUCGUUUCGCGAUUCGUUGUUAAGGAGGCGGGAGGAGAUGGAUGCUGAGAGGACUGUGUUGAAGAGGAGGAGAAUUGGGAAUAAUGAAUUGGAGAGAUUAGGGAUUGAUUGGAAUGCGUUGGGGAAAAUUGAUGGACCGAGGUUGAGGGAAUGUAGGAAUCCAAUUGGGAAUUCUGGUGUUGAUGGGAGGAAUAAUGAUAAUAACAAGUGUAGUUCUGCUGUUAAGGUUCCGAGGUUGGCGCCGGAGUCUUACUCGAUGAAGCGAUGGGUCGCGUUGAGUUUUGAUGGCGCCGAUCCCAAGGCUUUUGUCGGAUUGAAAUGCAAGGUUUACUGGCCCAUGGAUUCAAAAUCAUACACUGGCCAUGUCAAAAGUUAUGACAGGGAAGCCAAUAUACAUCAUAUUGAGUAUGAUGAUGGAGAUGAGGAAAAUUUAACUCUUUCAAAUGAAAAUGUAAAAUACCAUGUUUCUCGAAAUGACAUGGAACGCUUAAAAUUGAGUUACGCCAAAGUUCGUGACAGUAAUGUCUCUGAUUAUGAUGUUGAAGAGAUGCUCGCACUGGCUGCAAGCAUGGAUGAUUGCCAAGACUUUGAGCCAGGGGAUAUCAUAUGGGCGAAGCUUACAGGUUAUGCAAUGUGGCCUGCUGUUGUCCUGGAUGAAUCACUUGCUAGCAGCUGUAAGGGUCUAAAAACAUUCAUAGGGGGGAGAUCGGUUCCUGUCCAAUUUUUUGGCACCCAUGACUUUGCAAGAGUUCGACUGCAACAGGUGAAAUCAUUUCUCAAUGGACUUCUAACAGAUCUACACUCAAAGUGCAAGAAACAGAGUUUCAUCGAUGGUUUAGAAGAGGCAAAAAGGUAUUUAAGUGCACAGAAGCUUCCUUUGGAGAUGAUAGAACUGCGGAAAAGAUGUACAGCUGAUAACCAUAACAAUAUAAGGGGAGAGAAUGGAGGAUGUACAGAUUCUGGUGAAGACUGUGUAAAUGACAAAGGGACUUGGGCAGCACUUCAAAACAUUGAUACUUUUCCUUAUGAAGUGGGAGACUUGCAAAUUCUAAGCCUUGGAAAAAUAGUUGGAAAUUCCACUGCUUUUAGGGAUGGAAAAUCUAUCUGGCCUGAAGGGUACACAGCAGUGAGGAAAUUCACUUCAGUUACUGACCCUAAAGUAUCCGUCCCUUAUAAGAUGGAGGUUCUGAGAGACCCAGAAUCCAGAAUCAGACCAUUAUUCAGAGUGACAGUUGAUGGUGGUGAGCAGUUCAAUGGUUAUACGCCAUCUUCUUGCUGGAAUCAAAUAUACGAAAGGAUAAAGAAAUUGGAAAAGGUUGUUUCUGAAAGUUCCGUUGCUGAUGGUGACAUAGAAAGUGUCUACGAAUCCGGCUCUGAUAUGUUUGGUUUUUCCAAUUCUAAAGUGGCUAAACUUAUUAAGGGAUUAUCUAAGUCCAAAGUCUCUUUGAAGAAAUCAACGUGCAAGUCAGGUUCCGGAUUGCCUCUUGGUUAUAGACAAGUUCAUAUUAAUUGGUUUGAUCUCGAUAAGUGCAAUGUGUGCCAUAUGGACGAGGAGUAUGAGACCAAUCUGUUUCUGCAGUGUGACAAAUGUAGAAUGAUGGUCCAUGCUAGAUGCUAUGGAGAAUUGGAACCUGUAAAUGGAGUGCUAUGGUUAUGCAAAUUAUGUCGCUCGGGUGCUCCUCCCCCACCAUGUUGCUUAUGUCCACUCAUAGGUGGUGCAAUGAAGCCUACUACAGAUGGCCGGUGGGCUCAUUUGGCUUGUGCGAUGUGGAUACCUGAAACUUGCUUAGCUGAUGUCAAGAGAAUGGAGCCUAUUGAUGGUUUGAGUAGAAUCAGUAAGGACCGUUGGAAAUUGUUAUGCAGCAUAUGUGGUGUAUCUUAUGGUGCCUGCAUCCAAUGUUCAAACAAUUCUUGUCGCGUAGCGUAUCAUCCACUCUGUGCACGUGCAGCUGGUCUUUGCGUUGAGCUUGAGAGCGAGGACAGGCUCCAUCUACUAUCCCUAGAUGACGAUGAGGAUCAGUGCAUUCGCUUACUUUCUUUUUGCAAGAGACAUAGGCAGCCAUCUCAUGAAAAUUCUGUAGCCGAUGAACGUGUUCAGAUUAUUGGUCAAUGUUCAGAUUAUAAACCACCACCCACUUCAUCUGGUUGUGCCCGAAGUGAGCCAUAUGAUUACUCUGGUCGGAGAGGCAGAAAAGAACCUGAAGUACUUGCAGCUUCUUCGCUGAAACGUUUGUUUGUGGAGAAUCAACCAUAUUUAGUUGGUGGAUACUGCCAACAUGGAUUGUUGAACGCCCUAGAGCCUUCUGGCAGAGGAGUUUGCUCUAAAUUCUUUUGUAGCGAGCAAAGGCUAAGAACGUCGAUGAGUGAUUCUGCAGACAACAUACUUAGUGUUCCUGAGAAAUAUAAGUACAUGAAGGAAACCUUCCGGAAGCAGUUGGCAUUUGGGAAAUCAAGAAUUCAUGGAUUUGGCAUCUUCGCAAAGCAUCCAUAUAAAGGUGGAGACAUGGUGAUUGAAUAUACCGGUGAACUUGUUAGACCUUCUAUUGCUGAUCGAAGAGAGCAUUUUAUAUACAAUUCUUUGGUGGGUGCUGGAACAUAUUUGUUUCGGGUUGAUGAUGGAAGAGUCAUUGAUGCCACCAGAGCAGGAAGCAUCGCUCAUUUAAUUAAUCAUUCCUGUGCACCAAAUUGCUAUUCAAGAGUCAUUAGUGUUAACGGGGACGAGCAUAUUAUAAUAUUUGCAAAGAGGGACAUUAACCAAUGGGAAGAGCUUACAUAUGAUUAUAGAUUUUUCUCAAUAGACGAGCGGCUUGCUUGUUACUGUGGCUUCCCAAAAUGUCGAGGUGUAGUAAAUGAUACUGAGGCAGAAGAGCGAGCUGCUACCAUAUAUGUACCGCGAAGUGAAUUAGUAGAUUGGAAAGGAGAAUGAGAUUCUUGGCGAUAAAUUUGGUCACUUGCCGAAGGAUAUUUGUAAGAAGCAAUUAAUAACAAAGAUUACCUUGCAAUCUACUAUGCCAAUGGACCCUUGGAACCAUAAGUUGUCUUGUCUCUUACAUCCUGACUCUUGAUGUAGCAGAUUUUUGAUCCUAAUAUUAUGCCAUGGAUUCUUGAAGAUGGACCUUUGUCCAACAACUUCUGUCAUGGGCUCAGCCAUUUUUCCGAAAUCCGGCGUUGUCAAUAAGUAGUCUGAGUCUCUCCAUUAAUUCGUAACCCCAACUGAGCCGGUUAUGUUGGCUCAAGGUGGUUCCUCGGUAUUCUGGUUAUGGUAAUCAGAAAGAAAGCAUUUUUUUAAAGUGGCUUCAUUUCAAAUUCAUUUCCUCAUUUAAGGCUUCUGUUUAAGGUCAACCAACUUGCUGGUAUGUUGUAACUUGCCAUUGAAUAGGUACAGUUGAAAUUAUAUACAAAAUUUAUGCGAAGAAAUUGAGAAUGUGAAUGUAUGUAAUGUAAUAGCUGAUUGUGUGCCUUUGGAAUUUUGAAACGAUAAAUGUAUAUACAUAUAUAAAACUAACAAGCAUGGAUAGUCAUUAUUGAAGCCAAUACUAUGUUUCCAUUAAAGGUCAA